rnacentral:lncRNA from 1 species
AGAAAUGUUGAGCCAUGGCCUCAAAUAUGACAGUGGAAGCUUUCACAUGGCCCCUAUACUAUCCCUGCCAAGUAGAAGGGUAGUUCUUUCACUCGUAGUGCAUACAAUCUAUGCUACCAAGAAUCCCCAGAAAGCCCUUACUCGCAUUGAUCCCCAACAACAAGGCUGUAUCUACAAUAUUUGGCUCCCUCAAGUGCUCCGGGCCAAACACUGCUACUAGAGCCUUGCAAAACUUGUACAUGUACUCUAGUCAUGUGGAGUUGCUCAUUCGGACAUAAUGGUCAAUGAGACCAGCGAAUACUCUGUAUGCAAGCAUUCGAAUAGUCGUAGUUCUUUUCUGAUAAGAGGAGAAGACAAUCUUUCUGAUACAUGGCAAAACCGAGGGUGUUGACCUUUUCACACUUGGAGGGGAAAAGGAGAGAAAUCAAACAAACACUCAAGACAAUCUUCGAUCACACAUCUGCUAAACCCAUGAAACACAAGAGGAUGCAAUGAUUCGAGUCCAAUACGGGAUACAAGUAAAGAUGAUAGUUCUUCCCACUCAAAGAGAUGUUGCCUUGAAUCCUUAGAGGAUUUUUCCUAUGAUAGGGAUCUUCUCACAAAAAGGUCAUCUCCAUGGAGGAGGAAGUGGAAGGAGCAAUGCUCAACUAGCUAAGAGCCAAACAUAUGCUAAGCCUAGAUGGAGGAGUCCUUUAUAUAGUCUUAGGCGAGAGAGAGGGGAGAGAGGGGGCCUUCGGCCCGUGUCUGUCUAAGCAAGGGCCGAAUGUCUAGCCGGGGCCCUCAUGUCUGGGGCUUCUUGGGACACCAGAUGUCCGGACAGGAGAGACACAAGUCCGCGAGGUUCUGGACCCUCUUUGCUGGAUUUCCACUCGAGGUCUGGAUUUCUAAACGGGUGCCUUAUGUCCGGCUAGGGGGUGGAUGUAUGUUUAGCGGCCGGAUGUUCGGCCGCUGAAGCUUCAGCUGGCCUUCGAUUCUGGACUGGUGGCGCCGGAUUUCUGGGCCCUCGGCCCGAUGACCAACCGCUGGGAGGUCUUUGUGACUUCCUUUGGAGCUUGCCUUCAUCCAUCUUCUCGUUUGUCUCUGUGGUUACUUGUCCUUCACUCCAAGUGUCUCCGAGGUCGUCUUCAUGAUACCGAAGUAUGAAAAACAUUCCUCCUUGAGGUAGCGACCAUGUCUCAAGUGGACAGAACUAUGGAUCGGUAAGGAGAGAUGUCACCUCGAUUUCGAUGGCGCGUCUGCGAGCUCUUGUCAUAGGAUCACUUGGAGCUUGAGAGGGUGUUGUAGAAUCCAUGGGGAUGACCAUGGGAUGCUCCCCAUCACUUUCCGAGGUCCUCCUCCCUGCACUCGAAAUAGUUAUCGUAUACCCCAUCCCCUCCCAGAUACGGCUGAACACAUGUCUAGUCAUCCGAAAACGGCGCCUUAAUAGGUGGUGUUUGAAGAGGGGGUUAGGGGACUAGAAGUAAUCCUUUCAGAGUAGGCAAUGACAGCUCUCUUUGUUACGAUUCAGUGUCGGAGUAUGGCCCGGGAUCGAGCCAUUGAACACCAUUCACUCCCUACUCAUUGUUGGGAAACAUAGUAUAAACCAAAAAAAGGCCCUACAAUGGACUAGGAACACCAUGAACAUAAAAUAACGGUUACGAUCAAAUGGUUACCAACUUUGAGUUGCAGCAGAAGAAGAUGAGUCGGUGUAAAUCAUUGAUGAAGUCCCUCAAUCACUAGAUGAAUGAUCUAGUGAACCGCCCACAAACAAUCCCUCGAACGUAAGGUCGAAAGCACAACAUCUCUAAGAGUUGCAACGUAAGGUCUUCAUGAUCCGACAGUGCUUCACCGUGCAGGGCUAAUCAUCGCCUGGGAAUUAGAGGGAGGAUAUUAAAACCACACUCUGCUUCAAUUACGAGGAUCAGAUGAUUACAAUUAGAGGGAGGAGAUUAGAACCAUUCGUCGUAACAAGAAAUUGCAACAUACUCGUUUUGGUGGUGAUAAAUAGGUAUCACAUCGAGUAAAAUGUUUGUAGCAACAAACUAUUGCUACAAUUUGAACCUUUUGUGGCGAUACUCUAUUUCAAAAAAAACUUAGCUUGGUGGCGCUAAAUAGCUACGACAAUGGGCAAAAUAUUUGUAGCAAGAAGCUACUAUGACAAUGUAAACCUUGUGAGCCGAUACUCUAUUUCAACAAAACUUACUUUCAUGGUGCCACACAAUUAUUGCAUCGUGAAGAAAAAUAUGAUGCCAAGCUA